GUUUGCACUUGUCGGGGAAGGGUGAGAACCUUCGAUUAAGGUUCGACUCGAGCGAAAGCGAGAGAACGUUGCCAACGGCAA
rnacentral:sRNA from 1 species